rnacentral:lncRNA from 1 species
GUCCAAGUUAUAGCAACCUUCUACCUCCAAAGAGACUUCCAUACCUGCUGAAAUUUCAGCCCCCCUGUAACUUCCAUGGUAGAGUACUUUCUGGCUGACUCAGAAAAUGUAUAUUAACAUUUAGAAGGUGUUUAUGUUUUAUGAUAUCUCUCUUCCUUUAGUCUGCAGAUCAUGAGGCAGAUCAUGGCAGGGAAGGAGUGUGAUGAAUCCUCAGUUGUAGAGCUCAUUAAGGAAGCAGAGGAGAUGAAACACAACCUGAAAUAAUCAGGAUGCCUCCAAGUCCUGCACCUUGUGCUGAGAUCUGCAGAACAGAUCUGUUCUCAGCAGCAGCUACUGAUCAGUUCUGCAAAGUGUCAGAAGCUUUAGUUCCUAAAUUCUUGAGACAUGAUGACAUUGGAGACAGAAGAACUUGAUGAUCAACAAAAAGCACCACAGAUAAAAACCAAGGCAGACUUGCAGGAUGGAAAGGAAAAGAAACAGAGGAAAAUGGAAUGGGUCAAGUAUCAGGAACAAGCCAACAGCCUUCAGAAUGACUUUCACGGAAAAGUGAUUGAAUUGAGAAUUGACGCCUUGAAGAACUAUCAGAAGGCCAAUGACCUGAAAUUAUCACUGUACUUACAGCAGAGUUUUGAGCCAAAGCAAGCAUUUUAAAAUCUUCCACAAUCCCAAAAGUUUUUCAUUUCAUGAAUCUUAUAGUAGUAGACUCUGCUACUUCAGAGCAGAAGAUCAAGGGGAUAGACAUCUGACAGUGGCUGUGAAUUUCACCAAACCCGUUGUUUCUCUAGGAGUUUCAGCGAUUUCCCCUACAGAAUUUAUGGCAUCAUUACAGGAAAACAUAUAGUUUUGUAGAAAAAAGUUAAUAAAAAGCCAAGAUAGUAGUAAUCCUAGUACUCAGAAAGCUGAGACAGGCAAAUCACAAAGUUCAAGGCCAACCUGGAUUAGAUAACGGGAACCUGUCUAAACACAAAACAAAACUAACAGCAACAAUAAAAAAGCAGAAUAGAGGAAUGGCUCUGAGAAAUAAAGAAAUUUUCUUAAAUUUUCAUAUAUCUAUGAGUCUGAACUCUGUAUAACAGACAUGCAAUGAGAAAUUGUAGCUAAGGGAUGAUAAUGUUCUAUCAGCAGUGGUGUUUCUAAUUUCUAUUC